rnacentral:rRNA from 1 species
CAAUAGCGUAUAUUAAAGUUGUUGCAGUUAAAAAGCUCGUAGUUGGAUUUCUGGCAGGAGCGACCGGUCAUGCACUAUGUGCGUGAACUUGUGUUGUCUCUGGCCAUCCUUGGGGAGAUCCUGUUUGGCAUUAAGUUGUCGGGCAGGGGAUACCCAUCGUUUACUGUGAAAAAUUAGAGUGUUCAAAGCGGGCUUACGCUUGAAUAUUUCAGCAUGGAAUAACACUAUAGGACUCCUGUCCUAUUUCGUUGGUCUCGGGACGGGAGUAAUGAUUAAGAGGAACAGUUGGGGGCAUUCGUAUUUCAUUGUCAGAGGUGAAAUUCUUGGAUUUAUGAAAGACGAACUUCUGCGAAAGCAUUUGCCAAGGAUGUUUUCAUUAAUCAAGAACGAAAGUUGGGGGCUCGAAGAUGAUCAGAUACCAU